UAGUAUCAGAAAUCUGAACUUUGGUAAGAAAGUCAAUGAAGUAUUGAUUUCUAGAAGUUCAGUUGAUUUCUGAGUACAUGUCAAAGCUAGUGGGAGCAUAAGUGUUAUGCUAAUAAUCAUCAUGUUAGUGGGAGCAUGAUAAUUAUGAUAAGUAUUGCAAGUUAGCAAUGUUAAUUAUAGAAAACAAAAGUUUCAAUUCGUGAGGUUGCAGGGGUUGAAAAAGUUGUUUUGCUAUAAUUAAGGGAGAGGAAAUUAUACUUCAUCUCAAAUCUAAAAGCUUAGAUUGAGGUCUUAAUCGUAUUUAGUCAAGAAUAUAUAUGAAUUUCAUGUUGGGAUGGCUCAACAUAAGGAAAUUCUAUAUAUGGGUUCAUUAUUUGCGUUCUAAAAUUCGAUUAUGAUUACGACAUCCCUUUUCAUAAUCUGAAUUAUGAGAACUUGGCAAAUAGAAAUGGAAAUAUUAUAGCAAAAGACUGGUUUAGUCUUUAUGUGAGACAUCAUGAAUCGUGUCCCAUAUGCUUCGGAUAUAGGAUCGAUUACAUGUGCUAUAUUCACUCUUUCUAAGUUUUUCCAAAUGCCUGGGGCAUGAAGAAGGGAAAAAGGUCUAGAAAUUGAUAUGACUAAAAUGAUUAAGCAAUUGUUGAGGACAAUCUAAGGUUUACCAAAGAUUGGUUGCUCAAGGACAGUUGGAAGUAUAGUAUUAAUUCUGGAAGGACCAUAUUGACAUAAUCUGUAAGGAGGCAACUCUUGUUCAGAAGUGAUAGUCAAAAUGGAAUAUGGAAAUGCUUCAAAGUUAGAAAGUAUUCAAUCUGUAUGAUUAGGAAACUUAAUGCAAGAAGGAUGUUUCCAAGGAGUUGAUCUCCUUUGGAAUACUCUGUAAUGAUUGUUGCCAAGUCUUUGUGAAUUUGUGCAUAAUCAUUACAAGAGGAUCAAUGCAUAUAAGUUUAGAAUCUAACAGAUUUCAGUAAAUGGCAUGAAUUUGGAAUUCUUGCAUUUGCAGUAAGAUUUGGGACUGUGAAAUGAGAAUCAUUGGAGUUAUGUUCAAUUGAUCUAUUUCACAAAGUAAAGAUCAUAGACAAACAUAGUAUGCAUACUUGGUGUGUGGCAUGACUAGUGUUUAGAAAAACAUAGUGUACAUGCUUGGAGUAUUGGACAACUAUUGUUUUAAUUCAAGAAUAAAGUUGAUAGCUAAAACAGUAUACAAUGAAUAAUGUGUAAUCAUAUGGUGAUAAAUAAAAGGUGUUUUAUUUAUAUUCAUAAGUUCUGAGACCAUAUUGGAUUCUAUUAUUAUUGUGUUUCACUGUAACAACCCGAAAUUCGUAACAUUGCUUGUAAUCCUUUUCGUAACCCAUUUCGAUAAUCCAUUCGUCAUUUCCAAUUUCGUUUUCGAUUUCGCCAUUUAAUUAAGUCAUUAAUUUGAGUUUUAUAUUAUGACUUAAUGGGUGUCCGAACACAUUUAGAACUAAUUUUAACACCCCAUAUUAUUAAUCGGAAACAUUUUAGAAUCGACCAUAUCGGGUUACGGUAACUCAAUUGGGUGCGACCAAAAACCCCGUAUAACGCCGGUAUCGGGUAAAAUUCCGCCGUGUCCAAAUCUUAGACAUUAUUUAAAGUAAUCUAAGCUUCCAUUUGAAGCUUUUGCCCUCUCUCACUACUCUCUCUCUCUAACCUCUCUCCUCAAUC
rnacentral:lncRNA from 1 species